rnacentral:rRNA from 1 species
GGUCAAGUUAUUAGGGUGCGGGCGGUGCGCUUUUGAGCCGAUAUGAAGGACGUGAUAGCUGCGAUAAGCUUCGGGGGAGUUGCACGUAAACUUUUGAUCGAAAGGGUACGGUAAAAGGAAACUCACUUAGAGUAAUGUCUAAGUAUCAUUAAGUGAAUACAUAGCUUAAUGAGGGGAACUCAGGGAACUGAAACAUCUAAGUACCUGAAGGAAGAGAAAGAAAUUCGAUUCCGUAAGUAGCGGCGAGCGAACGCGGAUUAGCCCAAACCAAUAAAGUUUUCUUUAUUGGGGUUGAGGACAUACCACAUAUAAGAGGUCAUUAUAGACGAAGAAGUUUGGAAAAACUCAUCAUAGAAGGUAAUAAUCCUGUAGUCAAAAUAAUAAUUCUUUAGGUAUGAUCCAGAGUACCACGGGACACGUGAAACCCUGUGGGAAGCAGGAGGGACCACCCUCCAAGGCUAAAUACUACCUAGUGACCGAUAGCGUAUAGUACCGUGAGGGAAAGGUGAAAAGAACCCCGGGAGGGGAGUGAAAUAGAACCUGAAACCCUGCACUUACAAGCUGUGGAAGCACAUUUCUUGUGUGACCGCGUACUUUUUGUAGAACGGGCCAACGAGUUACGUUAAGUAGCAAGGUUAAGCACUUAAGGUGCGGAGCCGUAGCGAAAGCGAGCUGAGCGUUCAGUUACUUGACGUAGGCCGAAACCGGGCGACCUACCCGGCAGAGAUGAAGCGAAAGUAAAAAUUUCGUGGAGGGUCCGAACCCACGAGAGCGUUAGCUCGAGACUGACACAGCAGGUAACGGUGAAAUUCCAAUGCGAGCGGAAAUGGCUGGAUUCUCCCAGAAGCCAGCUUUAGAAUUUAGCCUCAAGGUAGAAGAUACGGAGGUAGAGCACUCGAAUGUCCUAGGGUAUUGCACCUACCGAAGACUAUCAAACUUUCCGAAUACCCGUCAUCUUAUACUUGGGAGUCAGACUGUGGGUGAUAAGAUUCAUAGUCGAGGGCAACAGCAGGUCGUCCUUCAAGGUCCCUAAAUGUAAGUUAGAGUGGUAAGGAUGUGGGAUUGCACGAACAGCAGGAUGUUGGCUUAGAAGCAGCCACUCAUUCAAAAGUGCGUAAUAGCUCACUGGUCGAGUGAUCCUGCGCCGAAGAUUUCCGGGGCUAAAACUUACUACCGAAGCUACGGCAUCAGUAAUGAUGGGUAGGGGAGCUUCCCAUACGGGUUGAAGCAUGACCGUAAGGACAUGUGGACGUAUAGGAGUGAGUAUUGGCAUAGUAGCGAGAUGUGGUGAAAAUCCACGGGCGUAAAGCAAGAUUUCCAGGAAGGUUCGUCCGCCCUGGGUUGAUCGGGACUAAGCUGAGGCCGAAAGGCGUAGGUGAUGGACAACAGGUUGAUAUUUACACCUUUUACCGAUAACCGUUUGAGAAGGGAUGACACAGUAGGAUAAGCUAAGCACACUGUUGGUUAUGUGUGCCCAAGCAUUGAGGCAGUCAAAGUAGGCAAAUCCGCUUUGAUAAUGCUGGGAUGUGAUGGGGAGCGAAAUUUAGUAGCGAAGUAGCUGAUUUCACACUGUCAAGAAAAAUCUCUAUCGAGUUAAAGGUACCCGUACCGCAAACGUACAGGUAGGUGAGAGUAUCCUAAGGCCAGCGAGAGAACUGUUGUUAAGGAACUCGGCAAAAGCCCGCCAGCAGGGAUAAGGGGUGCCACCAUCCAGGUAGCCGCAGAGAAACCAAACCCCGAAAGCGACUGUUGCAAAAACAGGUUUCUGCUAAGUCGCAAGACGAUGUAUAGGAAGCUGACGCCUGCCGGUGCUGGAAGGUUAGGGGAUCUGUUAGAGCAAUCGAAGCAGUGAACUUAAAGCCCCAGUAAACGGCGGCCGUAACUAUAACGGUCCUAAGGUAGCGAAAUUCCUUGUCGGGUAAGUUCCGACCCGCACGAAAGGCGUAACGAUUUGGGCACUGUCUCAACAACAGACUCGGUGAAAUUGUAAUUCCGGUGAAGAUGCCGGAUACCUGCGACAGGACGGAAAGACCCCAUGGAGCUUUACUGUAGCUUGACAUUGGGUCUUGGUACUACAUGUACAGGAUAGGUGGGAGGCUUUGAAACCAGGACGCCAGUUUUGGCGGAGCCAUCCUUGGGAUACCACCCUUGUAGUACUGGGACUCUAACCACAGGCCAUGAAUCUGGUCUUGGGACUGUCAGGUGGGCAGUUUGACUGGGGCGGUCGCCUCCCAAGGUAACGGAGGCGCUCAAAGGUUCUCAGUACGGUCGGAAAUCGUACGUAGGUGUAAGGCAAAAGGAAGCGAUUGCAAGACGCACAGGUCGAGCAGGAUGAAAAUCGGACUUAGUGAUCCGGUGGUUCUGCGUGGAGGGCCAUCGGCAACGGUGUAGCUACCCUGGGGAUAACAGGCUUAUCUCCCCAGAGUCUAUCGACGGAGGUUUGGCACCUCGAUGUCGGCUCAUCACAUCCCUGGGGCUGUAGUAGGUCCCAAGGGUUGGGCUGUUCGCCCAUUAAAGUGGUACGCGAGCUGGGUUCAGAACGUCGUGAGACAGUUCGGUCCCUAUCCGUCGCAGGCGUAGGAAAUUUGAGAAGACCUGUCCUUAGUACGAGAGGACCGGGAUGGACGUACCUCUGGUACCAGUUGUCCACUGCCAGGGCAUGGCUGGGUAGCUAUGUACGGAAUGGAUAAGCGCUGAAAGCAUCUAAGCGCGAAGCCAACUUCAAGAUAAGAUUUCCCACCGCAAGGGUAAGACCCCAGAAAGACUAUCUGGUUGAUAGGUCGAAGGUGUAAGUGCAGCAAUGUAUUUAGCUUAUCGAUACUAAUAGGUCGAGGACUUGACCAA